CUUUCAUGUUAAGCUGCAUUAUCACCGUCUCCUAGUUCCUGUGGUUUUAAUUAAAGUGUUCCGUGUUUGAAUCGCACUCUGAUUCUCCAGUCCCUUUCCUGAUACACAUUGUAUGCUGACAGAAGAGCAGACCAAACAAGAUGACUGAAGCUGAGGAUCGGCUGUGGUGCCUGCAACAGGGUGGCUGGCCUUUGCAGAGAGGUAGAAGAAAUGAGUCACCCUCAUCCAGCCCCCUUCUGAAAACCACAGUGCCUCUCCAGCUCACCCCAUGCCAGGACUCUCCACAUACCAACGGCUCCGACCACACAUCUCUGCCUGUGCUGAGUUUUUACAGAGCUCACCUGGGGGCCAAAGUUAAAAUCCACAUCACUCCCACUAUCUCCAGCCCCAAGAUUGGUCCCAGUCCUCCACCCAGAAAUGCCAGCCGAUCCAUUGUCGAGCCCGCUGUCCGAUCCACCAUGAUGUCUGGACCCAACAGGAACAUAAAUGUGACAUUUCACCCCAGGAGAAAACAGCAGAAAGAGGUUGUUACAAAACAAGAAGUGCUUUAUCUCAUUGCUUUUAUAAACAACAUCACCAACUAAAGAAUGUAUUUUAGACGACUAUGUUCCAAAGCUGAGAAACAAGAUGAUCACAAACUGGCUUAUUUGAUUGGUGAAGAAAACUCUGUAUUUUUCAAGUCAUUUUUCAUUUAUUGAUUGAAUUUUUGUAUUAUAUUAUAUAUUUCAGAUUGGCAGUGUGCUCUCAGACUUUUGAACCUCACAGUAGACAGAUGAACAGUGCUUGAAUGUGAGUCAGUGGCCAUUUCUCAUAAAUGAGAAAAUCUUUUCUGUUGCUGGCUCCUCAUCAGCAAUAGUGUCUUUUGAACUGUUUUAUUUACCCACCUUCAUGUCAUUCCAAACCUGAAUGAUUUUCUUUCUUGUGGUACAUAAGAUAUUUUGAGAAGAUAAGACACCGAGAAAUGUCUUAGUGUGUUUUUUCUUCUUCUUGAAAGUCAAAGGUCACCAAAACUGUCUGGUCACCAACAUUCUUCAAAAUAUUUUCUUUUGUGAUCUACUGGUUUGGAAAGACAUAAUGGCAUCUUGAUACUAUGAUUUAGCAAUAUAGAGAAAUAGACUUCCAAUAACAAAACAGAAUAGGAAGACUGAAGAAAUCUAGUCAUCCUGACCAAUGAACAUUCUGUCCAUGAGCUGCUUUUGAGGAGAGUGUUUGGAAGAACGGACACAGGUAAUGUGUGGGCUGAGAGGACAGCGGCUCCCUUAGGGGCUUUUCUGACCAGAUUUGACUGUCCCUCUGACAGCUGCCCUGAGGGAUAAAAAGCACCCAUGUUACAUUUUGAUUUUUAGAGCUGUUAAGUGACUUCAAUAAUAUAUCAAAACUUUUAUAAUAUAGAUAACAUUUUGCUUACUAGAAAGUUUCCUAAAUAAGUUUAUCAUUCAAAAAAACCAUAACAACAAUAUAAUUGUAUCCAUGGUCAUAAGUGCACUUUCAGUCACUGUCAGAGGAAUCAUUUUCUUCAUUAACAGCAAUUCAUCUUAAUCGUUUCAUAAUAUUAGAUUUAAAUCAGCAUUAGCCACAGAGACAACCACGACAACCACAUAUCCUAAUUGCCCCUUUACAUAACCAACCACAGCUUUCAUAAAGAGAAGUAAUUACCCAUGCUCAUUGAGUAUCCUCAUGUUCUCUGUGUUUCUGUUCACUGACUACUGUGAGGCAGUGGAUGUGGCUGUAAUCUGUCAUCUAGUGAGGCAGUGCGUAGAUAUGCUGAUGUACAUCAGUUGUUUCGAGUAGAUGGUGUUCUUUUCUUGCCCCCCCACAGAUGAUGUUUUGGCCUUUGGAUGAGCUGGAGAAAUCCUAGACAUACAUUUCCUGUGUGGUUUAGCAGUCUGUAACCAUAAAAACUCAAGCCAUAUAUAUGUCAUAUGGAAUGGAAUACGUUCCAGGGAGUGUGCCAGGCACAUAAAGAAUCACAAAUUACUACACUUAGAAUGUAAUGGAAAAUUUUUUUUUUACUAAUAAUGAAUAACAUUGAAAAUGGCAUGCAUAUGAUUAGGAAUUAACAGCAC
ensembl:lncRNA